rnacentral:rRNA from 1 species
AACAGGAUUAGAUACCCUGGUAGUCCACGCCCUAAACGAUGUCUACUAGUUGUCGGGUCUUAAUUGACUUGGUAACGCAGCUAACGCGUGAAGUAGACCGCCUGGGGAGUACGGUCGCAAGAUUAAAACUCAAAGGAAUUGACGGGGACCCGCACAAGCGGUGGAUGAUGUGGAUUAAUUCGAUGCAACGCGAAAAACCUUACCUACCCUUGACAUGGUCGGAAUCCCUGAGAGAUUGGGGAGUGCUCGAAAGAGAACCGAUACACAGGUGCUGCAUGGCUGUCGUCAGCUCGUGUCGUGAGAUGUUGGGUUAAGUCCCGCAACGAGCGCAACCCUUGUCAUUAGUUGCUACGAAAGGGCACUCUAAUGAGACUGCCGGUGACAAACCGGAGGAAGGUGGGGAUGACGUCAAGUCCUCAUGGCCCUUAUGGGUAGGGCUUCACACGUCAUACAAUGGUGCAUACAGAGGGCUGCCAACCCGCGAGGGGGAGCUAAUCCCAGAAAGUGCAUCGUAGUCCGGAUUGUAGUCUGCAACUCGACUACAUGAAGUUGGAAUCGCUAGUAAUCGCGGAUCAGCAUGUCGCGGUGAAUACGUUCCCGGGUCUUGUACACACCGCCCGUCACACCAUGGGAGCGGGUUUUACCAGAAGUAGGUAGCUUAACCGCAAGGAGGGCGCUUACCACGGUAGGAUUCGUGACUGGGGUGAAGUCGUAACAAGGUAACC